rnacentral:tRNA from 1 species
GCCUGGAUGGCUCAGUCUGCUGGGCAUCUGGCUUCGACUCAGGUUAUGAUCUCGCAGUUUGUGGGUUCAAGCCCCAUGUCAGGCU